AGCUGAGUGCAGACUCCUGUUCCCCCCAUGGAACACCCCACUGGUUGAGGUCAGAGGGAUGAGUGCAGAGAGAGGAUCGUCACACUGCUGAGGGAGCCCCAGAACAAAAGACUCCAACAGUUUUAUGGACCCUGCUGUCAGGGAGGCCCCAGCAGAAGGACCUGAAGAAGACCUCUGCCCAAGGCUCAGAGAAAGAGACCUGGAAAUAAAGGCUCUGGGACUAGGAAUGCAAAUACGUGAAAGAGAAUGACUGGCCAGAGAGGCCUGAGUCCUUGACUCCGACUCCCCCCCAGAGGCUGCAAUGCCUUGAAACCCUGAGGUUUCGGAUAACUGGGAUGGUAGAAAGGGUGGGUUU
rnacentral:lncRNA from 1 species